AUUGAACGCUGGCGGCAGGCCUAACACAUGCAAGUCGAACGGUAACAGGAAGAAGCUUGCUUCUUUGCUGACGAGUGGCGGACGGGUGAGUAAUGUCUGGGAAACUGCCUGAUGGAGGGGGAUAACUACUGGAAACGGUAGCUAAUACCGCAUAACGUCGCAAGACCAAAGAGGGGGACCUUCGGGCCUUUUGCCAUCGGAUGUGCCCAGAUGGGAUUAGCUAGUAGGUGGGGUAACGGCUCACCUAGGCGACGAUCCCUAGCUGGUCUGAGAGGAUGACCAGCCACACUGGAACUGAGACACGGUCCAGACUCCUACGGGAGGCAGCAGUGGGGAAUAUUGCACAAAGGGCGCAAGCCUGAUGCAGCCAUGCCGCGUGUAUGAAGAAGGCCUUCGGGUUGUAAAGUACUUUCAGCGGGGAGGAAGGGAGUAAAGUUAAUACCUUUGCUCAUUGACGUUACCCGCAGAAGAAGCACCGGCUAACUCCGUG
rnacentral:rRNA from 1 species